ACCUGGCUGGCUCAGUUGGUAGAGCACGUGACUCUGGAUCUCAGGGUCAUGAGUUCGAACCCCACGCUGGGUG
rnacentral:tRNA from 1 species